CCAAUGCAUCAGCCAACAGUAGAAUCUAUACAAUGCCACACUCGCAACUGAUGCUCCAACAAAGGCAGCAAAUGAACUCAAUUGAAACGACUACAGAAGGCAAGUGAAAUCAAGAGACUAAACACACCCAGUAAACCAAAAUUAGCUAACCAACUUCAAGAAGCGAUGCAGGGGUCACAAUUCCCUUCCGAUUCAACAAACAACCCAGAAAUUUGCGCUACUACAGUCCUAACAAUUCAAGCAAUAACCCCCAAUAUUUAUCCAGUAACCAGUGAAUAAUUCCAAAUCUCCAAAGAAAGUCAACAGAGGGCUAAAAGUAUAAUGGACAAAGCAAGCAGAGGAACCCAGGUGGGAACCCCGUCCACUGAAGACGAAAAACCAACCCAAGGAAGAAUUAAACCCGUAAAUCAGUCAAUGACUCGCACAGGGGAGUUGUCCAAGAUCAUAGAUAAAGCCCUUCCUAAUCAGUAAUUGAAAUGAACAUGCAACUGCAGAUUUGCAACCAGAUUUGCAAUAGAAUUGCUCGUGAAAUCAGCACUGGAAUCAAUGGACAGAACACUCCCAACAAUUGAAGUAAAUUUGUCCAAUUUCAACAAGCAACGCAAAUGCCACCCAAUUCAACAAACAACCACAGAAAUAAUCCAACUUUUCCACAGAAACUCUGGGUCAUCGAAACCCAAACAAUUCCCAACAAAUUACUCGAAUUGAUGCACUAAUUAAAGCAACAGGUGGGAGCCCAGUUGAUUCCAAACCUGUCUGAUGGAUUGGCGGCGCUGAGAAAGGGGACAGGGAGGCUCGCGGUGUGAGAGCAAGCCAUGGGCAGCAGCUAGUUGGCUCGCCGUGCGCAAGAGAGCUGGGUUGCUGCGGCAACGAGAGGGAGAAGGAGAGCAGAGGUGCGCAGUGGAGGUGAGAGGCUGCGG
rnacentral:lncRNA from 1 species